rnacentral:rRNA from 1 species
GGACGAACGCUGGCGGCGUGCUUAACACAUGCAAGUCGAACGGGCCCGCUCUCUUUUUUGGGGGUGGGUUGAGUGGCGAACGGGUGAGUAUCACGUGAGUAACCUGCCCCCUGCUCCUGGAUAACUGCUUGAAAGGGCGGCUAAUACGGGGUGUGCCGGCUGGUCCGCAUGGGCCUGGUCGGGAUAGUUUCAUCUUCGGGUGUUUCGGUGGGGGAUGGGCUCGCGGCCUAUCAGCUUGGUGGUGGGGUGAUGGCCCACCAAGGCGGUGACGGGUAGCCGGCCUGAGAGGGUGGGCGGCCACACUGGGACUGAGACACGGCCCAGACUCCUGCGGGAGGCAGCAGUGGGGGGUAUUGCACAAUGGGCGGAAGCCUGAUGCAGCGACGUCGCGUGAGGGAUGGAGGCCUUCGGGUUGUGAACCUCUUUCUCCGGUGGUGAAGGCCCUGUCCGUUGCGGCGGGGUUGACGGUAGCCGGGGAUGAAGCGCCGGCUAACUACGUG